GACGAACGCUGGCGGCGUGCCUAAUACAUGCAAGUAGAACGCUGAAGGAGGAGCUUACUUCUCUGGAUGAGUUGCGAACGGGUGAGUAACGCGUAGGUAACCUGCCUGGUAGCGGGGGAUAACUAUUGGAAACGAUAGCUAAUACCGCAUAAGAGUAGAUGUUGCAUGACAUUUACUUAAAAGGUGCAAUUGCACCACUACCAGAUGGACCUGCGUUGUAUUAGCUAGUUGGUGGGGUAACGGCUUACCAAGGCGACGAUACAUAGCCGACCUGAGAGGGGGAUCGGCCAAACUGGGACUGAGACACGGCCCAGACUCCUACGGGAGGCAGCAGUAGGGAAUCUUCGGCAAUGGACGGAAGUCUGACCGAGCAACGCCGCGUGAGUGAAGAAGGUUUUCGGAUCGUAAAGCUCUGUUGUAAGAGAAGAACGAGUGUGAGAGUGGAAAGUUCACACUGUGACGGUAUCUUACCAGAAAGGGACGGCUAACUACGUGCCAGCAGCCGCCGUAA
rnacentral:rRNA from 1 species